rnacentral:tRNA from 1 species
GUACCCUUAGCUCAGUUGGUUAGAGCAGACGGCUCAUAACCUUCCGGUCGUAGGUUCGAGUCCUACAGGGUACA